AAAUGUUAAUUCAAGGUGGAAGGAGGGAUUUGAUAUUUGGUGAAAUAGAUCAUGAGCAAUUUCUUUGGAAUUUGAUGGGGUAUCUAGGAAAAUUUGGUAGAUGGGAUUGCGUACAUGAAGUUACUAGUGUUUCUGCAUCUCAGAACCGUUUAGAGUUUCCAGGUCUGCUCUUGAUCUAUACUUUGGUUGCUGCAUCUCUCUAGUUGGUAAAACUUUAUUUCACUCUGGCCGUUGUAAAAGUGCCAUAUUCUUCUCGCACCUCUGAGUGGGUGUGGGGUGACAAUGACAGGGUGAUUAUUCUUUGCGCCUUGUGGGGAUCAAAAUCAUCUUACAUUUGGAGAUUGUGCCGUGUUCUUGAGGGCCUUUCUCUUGAUUACGGCUAAUGUUUGCAGCGUACGAGGACUGAGUUAGCAGUGACCCAUGUAUGUAACUCCUUGUCAACAUGAGUUAAAGUUUAAGUGUGAUCUCCCGAAGGAUAGGAACUGAAUUUAAAACUUAGCUUGUCACAGUUGCAAAUUUCUGGUGCUUGAAGCUUUGGUUGGGGGAUCAACCGGAAUGGUUAAAUUUUCAUGCUUUGCUUCACCUCUCCACCACCAGAAAUCAAAGAAAGCCACUCAACAACCUGAUGGAGCAACGCACAGUUACUCUAAAGUAAUUUCUCAAGAUAAAGGGCUGAAAACUUCUACCGCCUCUGUUGAUUCAAAAGCAAAGAUAGAAUUUAAGAACGCCUCUAGUAGCAGUGCAGAGCUAAUUA